GUUCCAUGCUGGACCCAGCUAUUGUCUCUGGACCUCAUUGCAAUGGCUUAUUGAUACUUACCGCAAAGGAUAGAAAAGGCCAAUGAAGAUGAACCUGGGAUUAGAAACAAAGUGCAUGACAAAACAACUGUGCGACCAUUCACUAGAAUAGAAAAAAACAAACCUAAAUCAAUUCAACCUGCAGGGGGAAAAAAAGUAAAAUACAGAUGUUGGAUAUUCUCUGUUACACAGAAUUAAGUGACACAUUAAGAGAAACGUCUAGCAUUCAUUUCGAUUCUGAUUGCCAGCUAUGUAUUUUUUUGCAUUCUCCCACCAUAUGCUUGAUAGGCGUGCCUGAUAGGUAAUAUAUACAUGAGUAGAAAAAGUAUACAGAAAAUUUCUCAUCUGAGAAUACUGCAUUUCUGAAUAUUAGCUCUGUCCCCAAGAUGGCCUAUGAAGUAAGUCAAACUCACGUUAAAUGGUUAUCUGUUUGUUUUGUUUAAUGUAGUGAAAAUAUUUAACCACCUGCAACAAUAAUAUAAAACCACUUACAUAAGUUAUAUUCAGAAUUCUGCCUCAGUUUAUUACAAUAUUGUCUAUGCUUCUUCCUGUAUUGAUAAAAGAGAGAAACUGAAGCUAACUAGUCAACAUAACCAUCAAAUCCAUAUUCUUGGACCAAUUCUUAAACAAGAGUGUUACAUUAUCUAUGCAUCCUUCACAGAUCUCAUCAGCAUUAUUCAGCAAGUCUCUCUGGAGCACUGCACAUUUUUGCUGAUUUGCACAGGGUGACUUCAUUCUUCAUCUGCAUUAGGAAUGUGUACCUCUGUAGUCAUGAGGUCAAUUUAUGA